GCUAAAUCCAGGUGUUUUGCAGGGCUAAAUGCCACUUCCCUGAUUCCUGCUUCCCCGGCAGGAAACUUCCCACCAGCAACUACUAAACCGCAUGUUUUAGCCUCCUUUCCCUUUUUUUUUUUUAAGUUUCUAUCAAAAACUCCCAGAGGGACAGAGCAAGAGCGAGUGUGGCAUCGGAGAGCAGAUGCAGCCGUGGUGGCUGAGGGACCUGUACCAGCCCCUGGAGGCCCACCACAUGGAACACAUGAGCCAGCUGUACGACCUGACCUCCGAGGAGGAGGAGGAAGUUUUCAGCAAGUCCAGGCUAAACAGGAUGCCACCAGCACCCCAGAGCAGCCACACCAACGUGGAAGGGUGACUACCUGCCACCUGUGCCCGGUGGCCCAGCGCACCCCAGCAGCUGCCACAGCUGCACCCCCCCGCCGAGGAGGACACGGGGGCCAGGAACGUGCUGGGGACACCCCGAAGGCCACCGCUGCGGGAGGGGGAUGGGGGGGCUGCGGGCAGCAAGGAGCCUUCGUAGGGCUCCAGCAGCAGCAGGCCGGGCUGACGUGGCACCGCGUUCCUGGAGCUGCAGCCAUGCAGCCUCGCUGGGCACGUGGGGUGUCCCUGGGGGACACACGCGUGUCCCCGCAGGCAGCUGGCAGGGGGUGCCCGGGGUGCUGGGGUGCCGCUGCAGACCCCGGGGGCUCUGUACUGGUCACGUUUGUUCGGUGGCGGGGAAGGGCUUUGGAAAUUGCCAUUAAAACGUGUGGGUUUUUCACCCAGAGCAUUCUGUGAGCAGAUGGGAGCGUGCACGCGUGUGUCUGGGCUGGCGUGCAC
rnacentral:lncRNA from 1 species